rnacentral:misc_RNA from 1 species
GUGUGGAGGCAACUGCACUGGAAGGUGGAUACACGAGGGCCUUACAACCUGUGCCACCCGACACAAGAACCUUGGAGCAGUCCCAUAGAUUACAAGGCGUUACAAUCAGUGUCAGCUGACACAAGGGGCAUUACAGCCAUUGGGUGUUACAGUGAACAGGGACGUUACAAGGAAGUAGAGACUCGGGAGUGGAUUCACCAACGGCUAUAGUUAGUAUCAAAACACACCUACUGCAGGGUUACAGUGUCUUGUUGAUGUGGUGGUGUAACGACCCACCGUUGGACAGCUGUCUACGCAAGUGCUGUGACCGUUUGCCCGGGUCGCCGUUGGCCCUCAAGGAACUGCCUUGUUGUGUGGUGUGUCAAGGUCCUUAUCGUAACCCGGAUAUAGUGACACAGGCUGACAGCUACAGCUCGUACUGUCAGGCCACAGUGUGUACACAGCACUUGCUGCAAGUGUCAGCUGUAAGUCACUUACACUUCCGCCAUUGCGGCCAGCAUCAGACGGUGCUAACAGGUCUCAGCAAGUUACAGUGAAAGUAUGCAGCUUAGCUCUCUCUCCAGGAGUGUUCUCAUCCUCCACUCACAAGAAUAAUGCAAGCAGCAGCAGCAGCUGAGCUGUCGGAUUUUAAAUAAAGCAUCAAAUCUCAAGGUUUAUUACAGUGCACGGUCCACCAAUGGUACACAAAGAACCCAAACAGUUUAUGGAGAAGACUAUAAGGACAUCCAACGCUUGUAAAUGGUUUUAUCCUAGGAGACAGUGGACAUACCCACUUCACGAGUGACUCAUUACAUCAUAAACUCAAGCUGAAAGAAGGCCCGCCAUCAGAUGGCUGGAAUGCCACUUGCCGCCACGGUCACCCCGAGGGCGACAACACCGACAACAAAGCCCGCAGCCUACGUGCUGCACAUCGCGGGUUGCAGCAAGACAUGCGCCGUGUGGCUCAUCGUGUCCCUGACAGUCUUCCUGGUCGUGCUCCUCAUGUUGUCGGUGCUGCUGGCGGUCCUCCUAUACCGCCGCCAUCGUCGGCGUCGUCUGCGACGUCUGCAGGAGGAGGAAUGUGCGCGAAGGGUCCUAGAGGCUCAGGCAUGCGCCAUGACACCGGAAAUGUACUUGCGCGAGAACUUGGCCUACAGUCACGUGGGCGACUCGCUGCCUCCACCCUACUCACAACCGCUGGCCAUCAGGGAGGGGCAGGAGGAGGAGGAGGAGGAUCAGGGAGAGCCCAAGCCCCCCAGUGAUGACGAGGAUGACGACCAGCUGCUGGAGGCCGACCCCCCACCCACGUACGAGGAGGCAACAGAGUUUGUGUGUGCCAUAGCCAGCCACGUGCACAGGCAGACAAACAGCAGUGAAGGCUCGUGCGCCUCGGACUUAAUCCAACUGGACGAUCAGGCGCCCUUACUGACCCCACCUCUUCUCUCCUCGCUGACUUCGGUCUCGCCGCACGCGACGUUGCUGACGUUUGAAGCCAUCAUCGAGGCGCGGCCUGACGACCUGGGCGAUGACAUUAGCGACUUUCUCCUCCAGCCCUUCCGUGACCCCAAAGAUCUGUGACCUUCUGCUGACUCCGUGCCGUUAGGUUUUUGUGUCCACACACAGUGAGACAGGAAAUACGUGGAACACGUCUCACAAGUGUGACUGGCAUUACCUUGAGUCCAAGUCGCAACGUCUUUAUUGAUGACACUUAUUGAGAAGACCUGCUGUGUAUUACAGUAAUGCAUUACACGAUACAACGUGUUGAUAACACCUAUUGAGAAGACCUGCUGUGUAUUACAGUAAUGUAUUACACGAUACAACGUGUUGAUAACACUUAUUGAGAAGACCUGCUGUGUAUUACAGUAAUGCAUUACACGAUACAACGUGUUGAUAACACCUAUUGAGAAGACCUGCUGUGUAUUACAGUAAUGCAUUACACGAUACAACGUGUUGAUAACACCUAUUGAGAAGACCUGCUGUGUAUUACAGUAAUGCAUUACACGAUACAACGUGUUGAUAACACCUAUUGAGAAGACCUGCUGUGUAUUACAGUAAUGCAUUACACGAUACAAAGUGUUGAUAACACUUAUUGAGAAGACCUGUUGUGUAUUACAGUAAUGCAUUACACGAUACAACGUGUUGAUAACACCUAUUGAGAAGACCUGCUGUGUAUUACAGUAAUGUAUUACAUGAUACAACGUGUUGAUAACACCUAUUGAGAAGACCUGCUGUGUAUUACAGUAAUGCAUUACACGAUACAACGUGUUGAUAACGUGAUGAUUGAUCAACCAAAUCUUCACAAUGCAAUGGACGACUUCAUGGCCAGACACACAUUUCGACAAAACAGUUUGAAUGACCUGUAACGAAAAGUAGCAGAGCUGAGUAAGACUAUAUAAGGAUGAUAAUCAUCAGCUAUCAUCACAUUGCUGUAUAUCAGUGUCUUGUGGUGACCGUUAGCCAAAAUGUACGUCCGCUUGUGUCGCGGUCUUCCUUUGAUCACCAAGGAGGACUACAGUGAGUUGAAAGACUUCCAGAUAACUGCAAGACUGUGUCCUGGGUGUGAAGUUUAGCAUAGCAGCCACUGUGAUGAGACUAUCCCUAGUAACAUGGCGCCCAUUGUGACAGGGUUAGUAUGUUGUCAAAGACAAGCUGUUACAACAAAGCUGUUUCUGUCAGAAUCUCGUGAUUUUCAUGUCAGUCUAGUUCUUGUAAGAUGUUAAGACUAUAUCAUACCCUUAGCUACACUGGAACAUUUUGUGUCUAUGUCUGUGAGUGUGUGUUUUCGCAAUCACAGUAGCUGUGUCAGGGUGUCUGGAUAUUGAAUGUUUAUAGUAAUUGAAGAUAUUCGGUAAAGAUGCCGUUAAUUUGCCGAAACUGGAUCUGACACAUUACUGUCUCGGUAAAAACUGUUUGGCAUGAGACACUCUCUGCCCAAGCACAUGGAGGGAAUUAUCCCACGUUUUAUUCCUAAUCCAGGAAUAGGAUGCAAAGCACGUGCUACUCCUAACCCAGGCAUAAGGAAGUGAAACAUGCGUUAACCCAGACGCUGUCAAUCAUAUCUAUCCCUUCCAGCUCUCAACCCCCUCAUCAACCACUUCAGUGUUAGCUUAACCUCUCACCUUUAGCUUAACCUGUCACCUUCAGCUUAACCUCCUAUCUUUAGCUGAAACUUGCAACAGGGAACGAAUGCUGGUUGUCGCCAUGGUCACUCGCUUACCUGUAGAACAGUGAGAGGACUAGUGACAUGAAGAUCAGUCUUACACCCGGUAGCCAACACUAGGCUCAGAGACCUGUCUGUCAUUUGCCUGUCACUAGUCCGUCACUUGUCUGUCAUUUGCCUGUCACUUGUCCGUCACCUGUCUGUCAUUUGCCUGUCACUUGUCCGUCACCUGUCUGUCAUUUGCCUGUCAUUAGUCCGUCACCUGUCUGUCAUUUGCCUGUCACUUGUCCGUCACUUGUCUGUCAUUUGCCUGUCACUUGUCCGUCACUUGUCUGUCAUUUGCCUGUCACUUGUCCGUCACCUGUCUGUCAUUUGCCUGUCACCUGCUGUCUCCUGAACACAUCGAGCAUCCAUAUUGCUGUUUGUGUCGACAUUUUGUGAAGUGAUUUAAAUAACACUUGUGACUAUCGAAAAUGUCACACAGAGCAUUCGAUGUUUUUGUCACGUGGUAACACUUUUAUAAAUAAGCAACAAAGAUGCCA